rnacentral:rRNA from 1 species
CACGUAGGGCGCAAGCGUUGUCCGGAAUUAUUGGGCGUAAAGGGCUCGUAGGCGGUCUGUUGCGUCUGCUGUGAAAACCCGGGGCUUAACCCCUGGCUUGCAGUGGAUACGGACAGACUAGAGGUAGGUAGGGGAGAAUGGAAUUCCCGGUGUAGCGGUGAAAUGCGCAGAUAUCGGGAGGAGCACCGGUGGCGAAGGCGGUUCUCUGGGACGGUACUGACGCUGAGACGCGAAAGCGUGGGGAGCGAACAGG